GGGCCUAUGGCUUAAUGGAUAAAGCGCCGGUCUACGGAGCCCCCGGAGAUUCCAUUGGUGGAUCCCUGGUAGGCUCA
rnacentral:tRNA from 1 species